UACAGAGGUCUCAAGCGUUGUUCGGAUUCAUUGGGCGUAAAGGGCGCGUAGGCGGCGCGGUAAGUCGGGUGUGAAAUCUUGGAGCUUAACUCCGAAACUGCAUUCGAUACUGCCGUGCUUGAGGACUGGAGAGGAGACUGGAAUUUACGGUGUAGCGGUGAAAUGCGUAGAUAUCGUAAGGAAGACCAGUGGCGAAGGCGGGUCUCUGGACAGUUCCUGACGCUGAGGCACGAAGGCGAGGGGAGCAAACGGG
rnacentral:rRNA from 1 species